rnacentral:lncRNA from 1 species
GAUGUGUGUUGCACGUCGAUGGUUGAUCGAUAUGUACAUCAACAAGCUCAACAUGCGCGGAUCGAGAUCAAGGGUUGAUUGAAGAUGGAUCAAGGAGUUGAUCACAAUUGGACCUAGAGGAUCAAGAUCGAGUCAAGAGUUGAAGACGAUCAAACUAAUUGACGUGCAUGUGCUUGUAAAAUGACCCCAUCCUGGAUCCAUGAUCGUCACCAUUUAAUUUUAUUUUUGAUAAAUGCCUGGAUGUUUAAUGCUUAUGUUUAUGUGGGUAGAUUUAUAUUUGCAUGAAAUGUGAAUACGUGAUCGAGUGAGACCUAAAUCAAAACCUCCCUAAUCAGUCGAGGGUGAACCAACAUGAGUUAGUCAUAUUAGAUUAAUUGAUCUAAUUGGUGUCUAGGCAAGCCUAUAAGGUGGUUACUUAAUUAGGAUCUUACUCUCUGAGUAAGGGGAGCCUCCCACCUGCUUACCUGGCCAAUUGUUCGAUUACCUCUUAUGAAGAACUCAAGUUGCAAACACUAAGACUUGAUUAUGCAAUAUUAAGUCCAUAGGUCUUCCACCGUAGUAGAGCUGCUAAGGUCUUUUCAGUGUUGAUUUGUCUCAGCUGGACACAGUGGGCAAGUUGCAUCGGGGGACUGGACCUCUCUAUUAGACAUGAGAUGUUGUGGGAUAAAGGUGGGGUUGGGCACCAAUAACUGUUAGGUGAGGACCCAAUGACGACUUUAUUUCUGCGGUUAUACGGUGGGUCCGACUUAACUAAGUAAUGGGGCCAAUAACUGUUAGGUGAGGUCUUCAUCACUUAGAGACUAAGUAUCACUGCAAUAUGCUUGAGAAGCAUUGUACAAGAGUUGUACACUCAUCCAUUUAUAUGUCACCAAUAACUGUUAGGUGAGGCGGCAUGUAAAUCGGUGAGACCGCAGUACCCACUAAAAAUCCUAGUCGCGUAGGUUUUUCGUUUCUCCAUCAGGGGAGUAUGAGGAAUUCGAGAAAAUAGUGGGAGCAUAUUUGUUUUAAAAGUUCCUAGAACAAAUUAAGUUCAAGUACAAAGUCUAACUAGAAUCUUUACUCUCUACA